GCCCAAAUAGCUCAGUCGGUAGAGCAGGGGAUUGAAAAUCCCCGUGUCGGUGGUUCGAUUCCGCCUUUGGGCACCA
rnacentral:tRNA from 2 species